rnacentral:rRNA from 1 species
GAUGAACGCUAGCGGCAGGCUUAACACAUGCAAGUCGAGGGGCAGCACGUCUUCGGACGGUGGCGACCGGCGCACGGGUGCGUAACGCGUAUACAAUCUACCUUGCAGAGGGGGAUAGCCCGGGGAAACCCGGAUUAAUACCCCAUGGUACCACUGGACAGCAUUGUCCUAUGGUUAAACAUUCAUGGCUGCAAGAUGAGUAUGCGUCCUAUUAGUUAGUUGGUGAGGUAACGGCUCACCAAGACAGCGAUAGGUAGGGGUCCUGAGAGGGAGAUCCCCCACACUGGUACUGAGACACGGACCAGACUCCUACGGGAGCAGCAGUGAGGAAUAUUGGACAAUGGGCGGGAGCCUGAUCCAGCCAUGCCGCGUGCAGGAAGACUGCCCUAUGGGUUGUAAACUGCUUUUACAGGGGAAGAAACACCUCCACGUGUGGGGGUUUGACGGUACCCUGCGAAUAAGGAUCGGCUAACUCCGUGCCAGCAGCCGCGGUAAUACGGG